rnacentral:rRNA from 1 species
GGGAUAUUGGACAAUGGGGGAAACCCUGAUCCAGCGACGCCGCGUGAGUGAAGAAGUAUUUCGGUAUGUAAAGCUCUAUCAGCAGGGAAGAAAGAAAUGACGGUACCUGAGUAAGAAGCCCCGGCUAACUACGUGCCGGCAGCCGCGGUAAUACGUAGGGGGCAAGCGUUAUCCGGAUUUACUGGGUGUAAAGGGAGCGUAGACGGUAAUGCAAGUCUGGAGUGAAAUGCAGGGGCUCAACCCCUGAACUGCUUUGGAAACUGUAUGGCUGGAGUGCAGGAGAGGUAAGUGGAAUUCCUAGUGUAGCGGUGAAAUGCGUAGAUAUUAGGAGGAACACCAGUGGCGAAGGCGACUUUCUGGACGAUAACUGACGUUGAGGCACGAAAGUGUGGGGAGCA